UACGGUCAAGACGUAUAAUUGAAGUUCUUAAUUAAAGUAAAGCGUAUUAUAUGUUUCACAAGAUUUGAUUUAAUUUGUUUUUAUUUCGGACUUUAAAGUGAGGUUUAUUGUGGAUAUUAUUAUUAAGCAGUUAAAAAUAGUGUGAUAACAGGUAUGUUUACUUUAUUUGUGUAUGUUUGUAUUUUAAGUUAAUACCUAAAAAUGAUUUACCUGUUCUUAAAAAAAAAUCUUUUUAAGUCUGAAAACAACAGACGAUAUAUUUAUUUUAGUUACAUAUUAUAUAACAUAUUAUAUAAUGUCUAAAUAGCCAAUUUAAUCUGAACACCACAGUCAAAAUACGACAUUUGUUCAGGAUAAUGCUUAAGUUGUCUAUACAAAAUGUCUGAACACCACAGACAAGGCAAAAUACAAAUGUUCGUAAUUAUGCUGAUCCAAACACAAUGGAACAGCCUUAAUUGUCUGAACACCACAGACAAAAGAUACAUUUGUUCAUAAUUUUGCUUAUCCAAACACCAUGGAAAAGCUUAAAUUGUCUGAACACCACAGACAAAAGAUAAAUUUGUUCGUAAUUUUGCUUAUCCAAACACCAUGGAAAAGCUUAAAUUGUCUGAACACCAAAGACAAAAGAUACAUUUGUUCGUAAUUUUGCUUAUCCAUACAACAGGAAAAAGCUAAAGAUGUCUGAACACCACAGACAAAAGAUACAUUUGUUCGUAAUUAUGCUUAUCCAAACACCAUGGAAAAGCUUAAAUUGUCUGAACACCACUGACAAAAGAUACAUUUGUUCGUAAUAAUGCUUAUCCAAACACCAUUGAAAAGCUUAAAUUGUCUGAACCCCACAGACAAAAGAUACAUUUGUUCGUAAUUAUGCUUAUCCAAACAUGGAAAAGCUUAAAAUGUCUGAACACCACAUACAAAAUACAUGAACAUAUUUGUUGUAGUAGGGAGAGUCCAAGCAACAUCGCAUACAAAAAUUGAAAAUUAAUAAAUAAAAGAAUUAUAUAAAAAAAAAAAAAACGUCUGAACACCACAGGCAAAAUUUACGUUAGUUCACAAUAAUGCUUGCCAAACACCAUGGAUUAUAAUUAUUUUCUUUCGAAAUAUAUAUAUUAUUGUCCAUGCACUUCGGUCUUCGUUUGCAUACCACUGUCGAAUUAAUGUAUCUAUUUGACGGUGUUAUUUACGAUUGAUUGCGAUAAAAUUGUUAUCGUUUAUGUCUAUUUCUAACGCGAUUUUUUUAUUGAACGAAUAGGGCCCGUAAGUCUCGUUUACUUUCACUUUCGAUUUACCACUUCCGGGUACAUCGGCAGACUUAUUUACCGUUACGCAUAUAGGUAACCCGAAGAACUCGAGGGGUAUAGAAGUUAAAUUUGUUUCGGUCCUCUUCAGAUUUGAAGGAAUGGAUAGCACGGGUCAAAAAAUGCAGAUGUAUAGACAAGGAGGUAUAUGACAAGUAUAGAAUAUACAGUUUGUUCAAUAUGGACCAUUAAUCAACUGUUUGCACUGCCUAUGAUCCUGAAAUAUCUAUACAUCAAAGGUAAAAAGGGAAAAAGAUGAAGGAGGAUUUGUCCAUGAAGACCUUUAUUGCAACUACCAUCUUCCAGUUCCUUAAUUUGAGAAUGAUAUCAGAGAACACACAGUUACAGUGAAAUAUUAGUUUAAUAUAAGCCACUGAGAGUAGUCAAAUGUACUUUCCUGAAGAAGAUGAAUGACAUCCAGCACAAAAAUCUUAAUGUAUAAAGAGUAUGAUUUUAUGUAUUUGACACUAUGAACAUGUUAAUGUCACAAUGAUAGAAACAGAGUAAAAUAUCCACAUUUCAUUGCAGUUUUAAGUAUUAAAACUAGAUACUCUAUAUAUACCAAAGCUGAUAACACACCAGAGAUAAGGUUUUUCAUGGAAUCACAGUAUAGUCAUAUGACAUUAUGGUCAUUAAAUGACUAUGAAGUAAAGAUUAGCAAAAAUAUUAUAUAUCAUCUACUACUAAUAUUGUGAGGUAAUCAUUGAUAAGCUCACAAAUUUGCAUUCAAAUCUUUGAUAUCAAGCUGAACAUUUUUCAAUUAGAAUAUGAUUUAUAACUCUAAUGACUAUGAUAAUUUGUUCAUGUUAAUUUUCAAAGUCUUUACAUUUGUAAAAGGAAAUAUUCUUAUUCUUGUAUCAGUAGACAUUCACAGUGUAAAGUUACAUUGUCCAAAUAACUAAUAAUAAAUCCAAGUGCUUUCCUGAAGUUUUUCUUCCACUGGAAAAUCAGUGUGAUAUAUAUGCUAAGCAGUGCACUAUAAAUUGUGUAAAAAUAAAAGUUUAUUAAACUUAUGAACUGUU